AUUUCCAACCUCUCUCUUCUUUCUCUAGCUCUUCCCUCCUUCAUCCGUUCCAUGAGCUCCAAUCCGAACUCAUCUGCUCGAACUCCAGCGAUGACAUCACGAAGUCGACUCUGAUUUUAUCUCUGAUCAUGGUUAUGUCAGGAUUCUUGCUGGGUAUUGGCAGCAACUUCUCUAGCAACAGUCGGGUCCUGAGCAGGGAACUUGGCGAACUUCACCAAUGGCAGUCUUGGUCUUCUUGGUGAGCCGAUUCAUGGCGAGAUGGACAUAAAGAGCGAUCUCACCCACUCAAGCUAGGGUUAUGGUUUGUGGGUAUUGAGAAGGAGGAGGAGGAGGAAGAAGAAACAGAGGAGGGUUUUCUCACUGAUUUCCACGACAUGCGUGCUGGGUUUUGAAGCAGGGGAACCCACGAAUGAAGGAUUCAGGUACUCUAAAUCCUGCGACCUUCUGUUCUCACUUCGAAGUUUCUUGCUUGAUGAGUUCGACUGAGGUCUCGAUUUCGUUCUUCAGUCUGAUGGUCAAAGGAAAACAAAUAGGUGCUCCAAAAAAGCAAAGGGUUUUUGGCUUCUCCAGAUAAGUGAAAGUGGAAAAUCUACGUGGCGGCUGGAGAAUGGAGGGCAAGGCAUUUUUAUUUUUUGUAUUUUCAUUCAUUUUUUGUAAUUUUUAUGUACCCCUGAGUUGCUCUUCCUGCAACUUAAAUUUGUACACUCAUAUUUAUUUCCGUAUAUGCUUUCUUCUAUAUGCACUUUCUUUCUUGCAUGUUUGAA